CACUGCCGACGUGCGGCGGCAGCCGCCGCCGCCUUCCUUGGCGCCCUUCUUGCGACUGGGCGCCAUAAAUUACGCAGAGUCAAGAAAAAGGAAGCGAUUCGAACUGAAUCAAACAACCAGACUCAAGAAAACACCGAAUUCGCCAAUAAAUCGAAUCAGAAAUGGGCUGCACAGUGUGUAAUUGGACGGUGAUGGAGCUGACAAGCAUUGAAACACAGGUGUAAUCGAGAAAUUGAAGGUGAUCGAAGGAAGAAACCCUAAUUCAUAGAGAGAAGAAGUGGUGUUUUGUUUUGUAUUGGUUUGGUUCAGCGAAUGAGAGAGAGGGGUUGAAGGAGGUGGCGGUGGUGGCCGCUUUAGGGUGCGCAGGUAAAGAGGGUAGAAGUGUGGCUC
rnacentral:lncRNA from 1 species